AUACGGAGGGUGCAAGCGUUAUCCGGAAUCAUGGGGUUUAAAGGGUCCGUAGGCGGACUAUUAAGUCAGAGGUGAAAUCCCACAGCUCAACUGUGGAACUGCCUUUGAUACUGGUAGUCUUGAGUUAUAUGGAAGUAGAUAGAAUGUGUAGUGUAGCGGUGAAAUGCAUAGAUAUUACACAGAAUACCGAUUGCGAAGGCAGUCUACUACGUAUAUACUGACGCUAAGGGACGAAAGCGUGGGGAGCGAACAGGAUUAGAAACCCUAGUAGUCC
rnacentral:rRNA from 1 species